rnacentral:hammerhead_ribozyme from 1 species
AUCCAUCUGACGAGUUCUAAACAGGACGAAACGCCUAGCCUGGAU